AUUGAUUAAUUAACUAAUGUACUCUCGUACUUACAUAUAUCAAGGAUAUUUCUUAUUUUACUACAUGAGUGCAUGACUUGUGUAUGUUUCCAGGCUGCUGCUGCAUUUCGAUUGACAUUAGACACAACAGAUUGACAAACGAUAACGUGAAAUAGUUCCAAAUGGUAACGAAAUUUUCGAAAUUUGUCUGUCAUUAUGGAUGAACAACAAGUCCCCAACGCAACAUUAGUUUACAUUUUUAAUCAUCUUUAAUACUGACACCAGGCGUACACACUUUGUAUGAGUCUUUGCAAUGCAGCUUACAUUCAACAAGACAACGACUACCUAUACUUCAAUACUUCAAUACCAAAUUGCGGCGGUCAUUAUUGAUGCUUACACUUUAGAUUUAAUUGAAUGUGAAAUUAUUAUAUACUGGCGUGCAGCCCCUGCCCUCUAACAAAAAACUAAUGAACACAGUUCGGUGUGGUACCGGUGCCUCAUACACAGGACGAGCAGAUUGCACCCGCAACUUUUCUUUUAGGUGUGACAAUACAUCUAAUUUCAAAACAGGGAAUACUCUAAUACAAAUAUUCCACAUACACCGCAAGUGCCAUGAACAAUAAAUAAUAUAUUUUAUAA
rnacentral:sRNA from 1 species